rnacentral:rRNA from 1 species
GACGAACGCUGGCGGCGUGCUUAACACAUGCAAGUCGAACGGAAAGGCCCUUCGGGGUACUCGAGUGGCGAACGGGUGAGUAACACGUGGGUGACCUGCCUUGAAGUGGGGGAUAACCAUUAGAAAUGAUGGCUAAUACCGCAUGACGUUGUUGGAUUGGGAAAUCUGGCAACCAAAGUUGAGGCGCUUUGAGAGGGGCCUACGGCCGAUUAGCUAGUUGGUGGGGUAAAGGCCUACCAAGGCGAUGAUCGGUAGCUGGUCUGAGAGGACGAUCAGCCACACGGGAACUGAGACACGGUCCCGACUCCUACGGGGGGCAGCAGUGAGGAAUAUUCGGCAAUGGGGGAAACCCUGACCGAGCAACGCCGCGUGGAGGAAGACGGUUUUCGGAUUGUAAACUCCUUUUCUGUGGGAGGAGCAAGGACGGUACCACAGGAAUCAGUCACGGCUAACUACGUG